rnacentral:rRNA from 1 species
GACGGAGGGUGCAAGCGUUAUCCGGAAUCAUUGGGUUUAAAGGGUACGUAGGCGGUGUAUUAAGUCGGGGGUAAAAUACAGCAGCUUAACUGCUGGGGCGCCUUCGAUACUGGUAUGCUAGAGAGAUGUGAAGGUAGGUGGAAUUUAUGGAGUAGCGGUGAAAUGCAUAGAUACCAUAAGGAACGCCGAUAGCGAAGGCAACUUACAUUACGUCAUCUGACGCUGAGGUACGAAAGCGUGGGUAUCAAACAGG